CUGGAGGUAUCAGAAGUGCGAAUGCUGACAUAAGUAACGAUAAAGCGGGUGAAAAGCCCGCUCGCCGGAAGACCAAGGGUUCCUGUCCAACGUUAAUCGGGGCAGGGUGAGUCGACCCCUAAGGCGAGGCCGAAAGGCGUAGUCGAUGGGAAACGGGUUAAUAUUCCCGUACUUGGUGUUACUGCGAAGGGGGGACGGAGAAGGCUAUGUUGGCCGGGCGACGGUUGUCCCGGUUUAAGCGUGUAGGUGUGUGUUCCAGGUAAAUCCGGUUCACUUUAACACUGAGGCGUGAUGACGAGGCACUACGGUGCUGAAGCAACAAAUGCCCUGCUUCCAGGAAAAGCCUCUAAGCAUCAGGUAACAUCAAAUCGUACCCCAAACCGACACAGGUGGUCAGGUAGAGAAUACCAAGGCGCUUGAGAGAACUCGGGUGAAGGAACUAGGCAAAAUGGUGCCGUAACUUCGGGAGAAGGCACGCUGACAUGUAGGUGAAGUGAUUUACUCAUGGAGCUGAAGUCAGUCGAAGAUACCAGCUGGCUGCAACUGUUUAUUAAAAACACAGCACUGUGCAAACACGAAAGUGGACGUAUACGGUGUGACGCCUGCCCGGUGCCGGAAGGUUAAUUGAUGGGGUCAGCGCAAGCGAAGCUCCUGAUCGAAGCCCCGGUAAACGGCGGCCGUAACUAUAACGGUCCUAAGGUAGCGAAAUUCCUUGUCGGGUAAGUUCCGACCUGCACGAAUGGCGUAAUGAUGGCCAGGCUGUCUCCACCCGAGACUCAGUGAAAUUGAACUCGCUGUGAAGAUGCAGUGUACCCGCGGCAAGACGGAAAGACCCCGUGAACCUUUACUAUAGCUUGACACUGAACAUUGAGCCUUGAUGUGUAGGAUAGGUGGGAGGCUUUGAAGUGUGGACGCCAGUCUGCAUGGAGCCGACCUUGAAAUACCACCCUUUAAUGUUUGAUGUUCUAACGUGGACCCGUAAUCCGGGUUGCGGACAGUGUCUGGUGGGUAGUUUGACUGGGGCGGUCUCCUCCUAAAGAGUAACGGAGGAGCACGAAGGUUGGCUAAUCCUGGUCGGACAUCAGGAGGUUAGUGCAAUGGCAUAAGCCAGCUUGACUGCGAGCGUGACGGCGCGAGCAGGUGCGAAAGCAGGUCAUAGUGAUCCGGUGGUUCUGAAUGGAAGGGCCAUCGCUCAACGGAUAAAAGGUACUCCGGGGAUAACAGGCUGAUACCGCCCAAGAGUUCAUAUCGACGGCGGUGUUUGGCACCUCGAUGUCGGCUCAUCACAUCCUGGGGCUGAAGUAGGUCCCAAGGGUAUGGCUGUUCGCCAUUUAAAGUGGUACGCGAGCUGGGUUUAGAACGUCGUGAGACAGUUCGGUCCCUAUCUGCCGUGGGCGCUGGAGAACUGAGGGGGGCUGCUCCUAGUACGAGAGGACCGGAGUGGACGCAUCACUGGUGUUCGGGUUGUCAUGCCAAUGGCACUGCCCGGUAGCUAAAUGCGGAAGAGAUAAGUGCUGAAAGCAUCUAAGCACGAAACUUGCCCCGAGAUGAGUUCUCCCUGAGACUUUAGGUCUCCUGAAGGAACGUUGAAGACGACGACGUUGAUAGGCCGGGUGUGUAAGCGCAGCGAUGCGUUGAGCUAACCGGUACUAAUGAACCGUGAGGCUUAACCUUACAACGCCG
rnacentral:rRNA from 1 species